rnacentral:lncRNA from 1 species
UCAAAAUGCGGUCAAAACGGCGGGCAUGACCGUUCGUAGCUAGUGGUUGAAUCUUGGAAUUUUUUUGGUGUUUCUCUGAUUAAAUAGAUACUUAUGUACCUAGAAAUGAUUUUUGGAAAAAAUAAAGAGCAAACUAUGAGGCAGCUGCAGUUCAAAUUUGACCCGCUUCCUACUGAAUCGGCGGAAAUUUGUCUUUUUCACAAGAGGUGGGUCAAGGCUUUUGACACCCAACCAUUUGGUCAAUUGUGCAUUAAAUAUGGCCUAGUAUCUUAUAAAAUUUAUUAGGUCCAAAUUUGCAACAAAUAUAUGAUAGGUCCUUCACAAAAAAACUCAUUUCGGGCACUCAAAAAAUGAAAAUGAAUUUUCCGUGCAAAGAAAAUGAAAAGUCCCUUGGGAAACAUUGUUUGGAAUUCCAAGAUGCACCCUUGUGCACAAUAUGAGAUCAUUUGAACAAACUAUGCCAUGAAUGUGGCCAUAAGAUUGAUCAUUUGGCUUGAAAGCCAUGAAUCUUCACGCAUGAUAGCUCAUUUCUGAGAACACUUUUUUGAAAUAAUUGCCGUAUUACAAGUUUAUUAUUUUUCCUGGAAACUUGGUCACAUAUAAUGACACAAUGCGAAGGUUUUCCAAUUUUUUAUUUUUUUGAAUUUUUUAUGCCCGUUUUAAAAUGCGGUCAAAACGGCGGGCAUGACCGUUCGUAGCUAGUGGUUGAAUCUAGGAAUUUUUUUGGUGUUUCUCUGAUUGAAUAGAUACUUAUGUACCUAGAAAUGAUUUUUGAAAAAAAUAAAGAGCAAACUAUGAGGCAGCUGCAGUUCAAAUUUGACCCGCUUCCUGUUGAAUCGGCGGAAAUUUGUCUUUUUCACAAGAGGUGGGUCAAGGCUUUUGACACCCAACCAUUUGGUCAAUUGUGCAUUAAAUAUGGCCUAGUAUCUUAUAAAAUUGAUUAGGUCCAAUUUUGCAACAAAUAUAUGGUAAGUCCUUCACAAAAAAAACUCAUUUCGAGCACUGAAAAAAUGGAAAAUGAAUAUUCCGUGCAAAGAAAAUGAAAACUCCCUUAGGAAACAUUGAUUCGAAUUCCAAGAUGAAACCCUUGUGCACAAUAUGAGAUCAUAUGAACAAACUAUGCCAUGAAUGUGGCCAUAAGAUUGAUCAUUUGGCUUGAAAGCCAUGAAUCUUCACGCAUGAUAGCUCAUUUCUUAGAACACUUUUUUGAAAUAAUUGCCGUAUUACAAGUUUAUUUUUUUUCCUGGAAACUUGGUCACAUAUAAUGACACAAUGCGAAGGUUUUCCAAUUUUUUGAUUUUUUUAAAUUUGUUAUGCCCGUUUCAAAAUGCGGUCAAAACGGCGGGCAUGACCGUUCGUAGCUAGUGGUUGAAUCUUGGAAUUUUUUUUGGUGUUUCUCUGAUUAAAUAGAUACUUAUGUACCUAGAAAUGAUUUUUGGAAAAAAUAAAGAGCAAACUAUGAGGCAGCUGCAGUUCAAAUUUGACCCGCUUCCUGUUGAAUCGGCGGAAAUUUGUCUUUUUCACAAGAGGUGGGUCAAGGCUUUUGACACCCAACCAUUUGGUCAAUUGUGCAUUAAAUAUGGCCUAGUAUCUUAUAAAAUUGAUUAGGUCCAAUUUUGCAACAACUAUAUGGUAGGUCCUUCACACAAAAAAAACUCAUUUCGAGCACUCAAAAAAUGGAAAAUGAAUAUUCCGUGCAAAGAAAAUGAAAACUCCCUUAGGAAACAUUGAUUCGAAUUCCAAGAUGAACCCUUGUGCACAAUAUGAGAUCAUUUGAACAAACUAUGCCAUGAAUGUGGCCAUAAGAUUGAUCAUUUGGCUUGAAAGCCAUGAAUCUUCACGCAUGAUAGCUCAUUUCUGAUAACACUUUUUUGAAAUAAUUGUCGUAUUACAAGUUUAUUAUUUUUCCUGGAAACUUGGUCACAUAUAAUGACACAAUGCGAAGGUUUUCCUAUUUUUUGAUUUUUUUUUGAAUUUUUUAUGCCCGUUCCAAAAUGCGGUCAAAACGGCGGGCAUGACCGUUCGUAGCUAGUGGUUGAAUCUUGGAAUUUUUUUGGUGUUUCUCUGAUUAAAUAGAUACUUAUGUACCUAGAAAUGAUUUUUUGAAAAAAUAAAGAGCAAACUAUGAGGCAGCUGCAGUUCAAAUUUGACCCGCUUCCUACUGAAUCGGCGGAAAUUUGUCUUUUUCACAAGAGGUGGGUCAAGGCUUUUGACACCCAACCAUUUGGUCAAUUGUGCAUUAAAUAUGGCCUAGUAUUUUAUAAAUUUGAUUUGGUCCAAUUUUGCAACAAUUAUUUGGUAGGU